rnacentral:rRNA from 1 species
GACAUAAAUGGCUUAAUCAUGGCCACGAACGAAUGCUAUCUAGUUGUUUGACACAUGCAAGUUAAUGUAAAACUGCUUUAUUUCUAGAGCAGACACAUAGCGUAUUGGAGAGUAUAAAUUAGAAUGCUAACUCUAGAUAACCUUAUAAGUUAUAAUUAUCAUUUGAUACAAAGGAUCUUAUCUGUCUAGAGAUGCUUUUAAUCCACAGCAGUUAGUUGGUGAGGUAAUGGCUUACCAAGACAAUGACUUGUAGGUAAGGCUGAAAGUCUCAAUAUCCUCAGUGGAGAAUGAAAAGUCCCACAACAUCAUUUGAUGUGCAGCAGUGAAGAAUCAUCGUCAAUGAUCGAAAGAUUGAACGUGCAAACUAGAAUUCUAUUAAGCAUAAGUUUAUAGAAUGUAAUUUAACAAAAUAGUGAUUAGUUAUUUUACUAGUGGAAACCAAUUUCGGUGCCAGAAGUUUCGGUUAGACCGAUUCCGCAAGCAUUGUUCGUUAUGAAUUGGCGUAAAGGGUACGUAGAUUGUUGACUUCCAUAGUCUGUUUGUUUUCAUCUUUGUCUUUUUUAUUUUUUCUUUAUUUUUAUUUUGAAAAGGAAAAGUUCCUUUUCCUUUUCAAAAUAAAAAUAAAGAAAAAAAUAAAAAGUGCCCCUCCAAGGGGCGCUUGUCCUUGGUUUUUAUUUUCUGUUUUUAUUUUCUUUUUUAUUUUCUGUUUUUAUUUUCGAAAAUAAAAAAGAAAAUAAAAACAGAAAAUAAAAAAGAAAAUAAAAAGAAAAAGACAAAAACAGAGAAAAAGUGGACCAUGAAGGGUCAACUAGAAUCCAAUAGAAGUAAUCAGAAUUUCAAAAGUAGCGCUGAUAUGCUUUGAUAUUUGAAGGACUACCAAUGGCGAAGGCAGAUUACUAAUUAGAGAUUGACAUUGAGGUACGAAAGCGUAGGUAGCAAACAGAAUUAGAUACUCUGGUAGUCUACGCUGUAAACGAUGAGUGUUAGUAAUCUUUCUUUGUUCCUUUGAUUCAUGAAAAGGAAAUGAUGGGAUACUUAGCAAACGUAAUAAACACUCCGCCUGGAAAGUACAGUCACACGACAGAACACCAAAUGAUUAGACGGUCUCGAAAACCCGUAGUGAAGCAUGACGCUUAAUGCGAUAACCCGCGCAUAACCUUACCUACACUUGAAUCUCAUGAUAUUCCAAGAUUUCUUGGAGAAUUAAGAGGACAGGUGCUGCAUGACCCUCUUCAGCAUGUGCCUUAUGGUGCUUGGUUUGAUCCGCUAACAUGCGCAAUUCUUACCUUCUCUAAGUAAACAAAGAAGGACUACAGUUGAUAUAACUGUAAAUUAGAGCUAAGAGAGGUCCCUAUGACCCUUAUGUGUAGGGCUGCCGUUGUGCUGCGAAGAGUUUAACAAUAUGAUGCAACGUUGCGAAAUAGAGCUAAUCAUCAAAUAAACCCACACGGAUUGUAGUCUGCAAUCGACUACAUGAAAUAGGAAUUACGAGUAAUCGUGUAGUAGUGCGACACGGUGAAAAUAAAAUUCGAGAUGUACUAAUUACUCGUCAAAUCUGGAAAUAGAUUAAAUUGUGAAACUGGACGAUGUACAUGACGAUAUUUAUAUUGGAAAUAUACUCCUAGUAUUUAUUAUCAUAGUGUAAUACUUUUGUUAGCAGUUUACCUUAAUCGAGAUUAAGUCGAAAUAUAGGAGUGGCAGGGGAACCUGCUGCUGAACAAUACAAAUU